AUACGGAGGAUCCGAGCGUUAUCCGGAUUUAUUGGGUUUAAAGGGUGCGCAGGCGGGAGAUUAAGUCGGCGGUGAAAUUUUGCAGCUCAACUGCAAAAGUGCCUUCGAAACUGGUUUCCUUGAGUGUAGAUGAAGUAGGCGGAAUUUGUGGUGUAGCGGUGAAAUGCAUAGAUAUCACGAGGAACUCCGAUUGCGCAGGCAGCUUACUAAACUACUACUGACGCUCAGGCACGAAGGCGUGGGGAUCAAACAGGAUUAGAUACCCUGGUAGUCCACGCAGUAAACGAUGAUUACUAGCUGUUUGCGAUACAAUGUAAGCGGCUGAGCGAAAGCGUUAAGUAAUCCACCUGGGGAGUACGUUCGCAAGAAUGAAACUCAAAGGAAUUGACGGGG
rnacentral:rRNA from 1 species